rnacentral:rRNA from 1 species
UGCGUAGGCGGUUCUGUAAGUAUGGUGUGAAAUCUCCCGGCUUAACUGGGAGGGUGCGCUAUAAACUGCGGGACUAGAGUGUGGGAGAGGAAAGUGGAAUUCCCGGUGUAGCGGUGAAAUGCGUAGAUAUCAGGAGGAACACCGGUGGUGUAAACGGCUUUCUGGACCAUAACUGACGCUGAGGCACGAAAGCGUGGGUAGCAAACAGGAUUAGAUACCCUGGUAGUCCACGCCCUAAACGAUGCAUAUUUGGUGUGGGUCAUUUCAGUUGAUCCGUGCCGGAGCUAACGCGUUAAAUAUGCCGCCUGGGGAGUACAGUCGCAAGGCUGAA